rnacentral:rRNA from 1 species
CUGGCGACCGGCGCACGGGCGAGUAACACGUAUCCAACCUACCAUUCACUCGGGGAUAGCCUUUCGAAAGAAAGAUUAAUACCCGAUAGUCUAGGAAUAAAGCAUUUUAUUUUUAGUAAAGAAUUUCGGUGUUUGAUGGGGAUGCGUUCCAUUAGAUUGUUGGUGAGGUAACGGCUCACCAAGUCUUCGAUGGAUAGGGGUUCUGAGAGGAAGGUCCCCCACAUUGGAACUGAGACACGGUCCAAACUCCUACGGGAGGCAGCAGUGAGGAAUAUUGGUCAAUGGACGAGAGUCUGAACCAGCCAAGUAGCGUGAAGGACGAAGGCCCUACGGGUCGUAAACUUCUUUUAUAGGGGAAUAAAGUGGAGAACGUGUUCUCCUUUGUAUGUACCCUACGAAUAAGGAUCGGCUAACUCCGUGCCAGCAGCCGCGGUAAUACGGAGGAUCCAAGCGUUAUCCGGAUUUAUUGGGUUUAAAGGGAGCGUAGGUGGACGUAUAAGUCAGUUGUGAAAGUUUGCGGCUCAACCGUAAAAUUGCAGUUGAUACUGUAUGUCUUGAGUGUACAAGAGGUGGGCGGAAUUCGUGGUGUAGCGGUGAAAUGCUUAGAUAUCACGAAGAACUCCGAUUG